rnacentral:rRNA from 1 species
UUGCAAAGGUACAUAAUAAUUAGUUUAUUGAUUGUAAAAUUGUAUGAAUGAAUUAAUAAAAGUAAGAUUGUCUGUAGUUUUAAUUAUAUGAAUUUUAUUUUUUUAUGAAAAAGUUAAAAUUUUUUAACAAGACGAGAAGACCCUAUAAAUCUUUAAUUUUUAUAAAUAAAAAUUUUUAUAAAAAUUUUUAUUGGGGCGAUAGGUGAAAAAAGAACUUCAUUUUUAUGAGAGUUUUAUAUAAAUAAUUGAAUAAUAGAUCCUUUUGUUAAGAUUAAUAAUAUAAGUUACUUUAGGGAUAACAGCGAAAUUGUUUA